AACGAACGCUGGCGGCAGGCCUAACACGUGCAAGUCGAGCGUGAAAGGGCUUCGGCCUGAGUAAAGCGGCGGACGGGUGAGUAACGCGUAGGAAUCUACCUGGUAGUGGGGGAUAACGUUCCGAAAGGAACGCUAAUACCGCAUACGUUCUGAGGAAGAAAGCAGGGGACCGCAAGGCCUUGCGCUAUCAGAUGAGCCUGCGUCCGAUUAGCUAGUUGGUAGGGUAAAGGCCUACCAAGGCGACGAUCGGUAACUGGUCUGAGAGGAUGAUCAGUCACACUGGAACUGAGACACGGUCCAGACUCCUACGGGAGGCAGCAGUGGGGAAUAUUGGACAAUGGGGGCAACCCUGAUCCAGCCAUGCCGCGUGUGUGAAGAAGGCCUCGGUUGUAAG
rnacentral:rRNA from 1 species